rnacentral:rRNA from 1 species
GACGAACGCUGGCGGCGUGCUUAACACAUGCAAGUCGAACGGAAAGGCCCUGCUUUUGUGGGGUGCUCGAGUGGCGAACGGGUGAGUAACACGUGAGUAACCUGCCCUUGACUUUGGGAUAACUUCAGGAAACUGGGGCUAAUACCGGGUAGGAGCUCCUGCUGCAUGGUGGGGGUUGGAAAGUUUCGGCGGUUGGGGAUGGACUCGCGGCUUAUCAGCUUGUUGGUGGGGUAGUGGCUUUCCAAGGCUUUGACGGGUAGCCGGCCUGAGAGGGUGACCGGCCACAUUGGGACUGAGAUACGGCCCAGACUCCUACGGGAGGCAGAAGUGGGGAAUAUUGCACAAUGGGCGGAAGCCUGAUGCAGCAACGCCGCGUGCGGGAUGACGGCCUUCGGGUUGUAAACCGCUUUCGCCUGUGACGAAGCGUGAGUGACGGUAAUGGGUAAAGAAGCACCGGCUAACUACGUG